rnacentral:rRNA from 1 species
AUUGAACGCUGGCGGCAGGCUUAACACAUGCAAGUCGAGCGGGGGAAGGUAGCUUGCUACCGGACCUAGCGGCGGACGGGUGAGUAAUGCUUAGGAAUCUGCCUAUUAGUGGGGGACAACAUCUCGAAAGGGAGGCUAAUACCGCAUACGUCCUACGGGAGAAAGCAGGGGAUCUUCGGACCUUGCGCUAAUAGAUGAGCCCAAGUCGGAUUAGCUAGUUGGUGGGGUAAAGGCCUACCAAGGCGACGAUCUGUAGCGGGUCUGAGAGGAUGAUCCGCCACACUGGGACUGAGACACGGCCCAGACUCCUACGGGAGGCAGCAGUGGGGAAUAUUGGACAAUGGGGGGAACCCUGAUCCAGCCAUGCCGCGUGUGUGAAGAAGGCCUUAUGGUUGUAAAGCACUUUAAGCGAGGAGGAGGCUACUUUAGUUAAUACCUAGAGAUAGUGGACGUUACUCGCAGAAUAAGCACCGGCUAACUCUGUGCCAGCAGCCGCAGUAA